rnacentral:lncRNA from 1 species
UGCAGGGACACACUGCCAGGGCUUAGGAAUGAAGCAGAGGUCACACUGUCUGUGACAAAGGGCGUACCAGCUUUUGGAACUGUUCACGUGGACAGACACCUGGAUAAAAGUAUAACCAACAAGGCCCCGCUGUGGGAUAGGACUGUUAUCCUCAGGCCUGUAACCAUCCAUCCGGACCUCAGGCUCUCCAGAGUCUUGAUUUAGGGCUUUUGUAGAAACACUGUACCUCAGUA